AUUGCUUCAUCACCUUUUGGCUAAGAUUAAGUAGUAUCUGUUAUCAGUUUAAUAUCUUGAUACGUCCUCUAUCCAAGGACAAUAUAUUAAAUGGAUUUUUGCAGCUGGGAGAUGGAAUAGAAGCUUGCUCCAUCCGCUCUACACAUUGUCCUGGUAUUGCUGUACCUCCGGGAACAGUGCACCCCUG
rnacentral:snRNA from 1 species